rnacentral:rRNA from 1 species
UACGUAGGGUGCAGGCGUUAAUCGGAAUUACUGGGCGUAAAGCGUGCGCAGGCGGUUUGCUAAGACAGGUGUGAAAUCCCCGGGCUUAACCUGGGAACUGCGCUUGUUACUGGCAAGCUUGAGUGUGGCAGAGGGGGGUGGAAUUCCACGUGUAGCAGUGAAAUGCGUAGAGAUGUGGAGGAACACCGAUGGCGAAGGCAGCCCCCUCGGCUAACACUGACGCUCAUGCACGAAAGCGUGGGGAGCAAACAGG